rnacentral:rRNA from 1 species
AGCAGUAGCCACGGUAAUACGUAGGGUGCAAGCGUUAAUCGGAAUUACUGGGCGUAAAGCGUGCGCAGGCGGUUAUAUAAGUCAGAUGUGAAAUCCCCGGGCUCAACCUGGGAACUGCAUUUGAGACUGUAUGGCUAGAGUGUGUCAGAGGGGGGUAGAAUUCCACGUGUAGCAGUGAAAUGCGUAGAGAUGUGGAGGAAUACCGAUGGCGAAGGCAGCCCCCUGGGAUAACACUGACGUUCAUGCUCGAAAGCGUGGGUAGCAAACAGGAUUAGAUACCCGCGUAGUCCCUGUCUCUUAUAC